CACUCGAUGGCGCAUGGCGUGCGCCUGCUGGAUUUACUUGAUCUUGAGAGCUAUUGGUUGUUAGCAGGAGGUCUCGGUUCGAUUCCGGGUCGGGUGU